rnacentral:rRNA from 1 species
GACGAACGCUGGCGGCGUGCUUAACACAUGCCAGUCGAACGGAAAGGCCCUGCUUUUGUGGGGUGCUCGAGUGGCGAACGGGUGAGUAACACGUGAGUAACCUGCCCUUGACUUUGGGAUAACUUCAGGAAACUGGGGCUCAUACCGGAUAGGAGCUCCUGCUGCAUGGUGGGGGUUGGAAAGUUUCGGCGGUUGGGGCUGGACUCGCGGCUUAUCAGCUUGUUGGUGGGGUAGUGGCUUACCAAGGCUUUGACGGGUAGCCGGCCUGGGAGGGUGACCGGCCACAAUGGGACUGAGAGACGGCCCAGACUCCUACGGGAGGCAGCAGUGGGGAAUAUUGCACAAUGGGCGGAAGCCUGAUGCAGCAACGCCGCGUGCGUGAUGACGGCCUUCGGGUUGUAAACCGCUUUCGCCUGUGACGAAGCGUGAGUGACGGUAAUGGGUAAGGAAGCAACGGCUAACUACGUG